ACUGGGACCAGACUUUCAGGUUCCACAUGAGUGGAUGAAGAGGGAACCUCGUGCAAAUCGAGGACGGGCCCGCCGCUGUAACCGGGGACGGGCGCUGCAGAUAGGCCACUGCUGCCACGGCAUCGGGAAGGCGCGGCGUCACGAAAGAUCCGGAAGUCAGAAGACCUGCCUGAAAGAAGGUUCGACA
rnacentral:ncRNA from 2 species